rnacentral:rRNA from 1 species
UACAGAGGGUGCGAGCGUUGUCCGGAAUCACUGGGCGUAAAGGGCGCGUAGGCGGCUUUUCAAGCGUGCGGUGAAAGCUCGGGGCUUAACUCCGAGUCUGCCGUGCGAACUGGGAGGCUUGAGUCUGGUAGAGGUCGAUGGAAUUCCGGGUGUAGCGGUGGAAUGCGUAGAUAUCAGGAGGAACACCGGUGGCGAAGGCGGCCCUCUGGACGGAUACUGACGCUGAGGAGCGAAAGCGUGGGGAGCGAACAGG